AUGAACUCUUCUCCAGGACCAGUGGUUGUGCUAUUCUUAAUGCUUGGAGGAAGCAAUGGAGACUCGGUGAUGCAGACAGAAGGCCAGGUGACCCUCUCUGAAGGGGCUUCCCUAACUGUGAACUGCUCCUAUGAAACCAAACAGUACCCUGCUCUUUUCUGGUAUGUUCAGUAUCCUGGUGAAGUUCUGCAGCUCCUCUUUAGUGUCUCAAAGGCCAACGAGAAGGGAAGCAACAAAGGUUUUGAAGCCACAUACAGUAAGGAAACCACCUCCUUCCACUUGAAGAAAGCCUCAGUGCAAGAGUCAGACUCAGCUAUGUAUUACUGUGCUCUGAGUGACACAUUAAAAAUGGGCAAAGAAUGUUAA